rnacentral:rRNA from 1 species
UGGGGAAUAUUGCACAAUGGGCGAAAGCCUGAUGCAGCAACGCCGCGUGAGUGAUGAAGGCCUUCGGGUUGUAAAGCUCUGUCUUUUGGGACGAUAAUGACGGUACCAAAGGAGAAAGCCACGGCUAACUACGUGCCAGCAGCCGCGGUAAUACGUAGGUGGCAAGCGUUGUCCGGAUUUACUGGGCGUAAAGGAUGCGUAGGCGGAUUUUUAAGUGAGAUGUGAAAUACCCGGGCUUAACUUGGGUGCUGCAUUUCAAACUGGGAAUCUAGAGUGCGGGAGAGGAGAAUGGAAUUCCUAGUGUAGCGGUGAAAUGCGUAGAGAUUAGGAAGAACACCAGUGGCGAAGGCGAUUCUCUGGACCGUAACUGACGCUGAGGCAUGAAAGCGUGGGUAGCAAACAGGAUUAGAUACCCUGGUAGUCCACGCCGUAAACGAUGAGUACUAGGUGUAGGAGGUAUCGACCCCUUCUGUGCCGCAGUUAACACAAUAAGUACUCCGCCUGGGAAGUACGAUCGCAAGAUUAAAACUCAAAUGAAUUGACGGGGUCAUAGCUGUUUCCU